UGCCCAAGAGACUGGGAUAACACCUGGAAACAGAUGCUAAUACCGGAUAACAACACUAGACGCAUGUCUAGAGUUUAAAAGAUGGUUCUGCUAUCACUCUUGGAUGGACCUGCGGUGCAUUAGCUAGUUGGUAAGGUAACGGCUUACCAAGGCAAUGAUGCAUAGCCGAGUUGAGAGACUAAUCGGCCACAUUGGGACUGAGACACGGUCCAAACUCCUACGGGAGGCAGCAGGG
rnacentral:rRNA from 1 species